rnacentral:rRNA from 1 species
GGAGGCAACUCUGAUCCAGCCAUGCCGCGUGCAGGAAGACUGCCCUAUGGGUUGUAAACUGCUUUUAUAUAGGAAGAAACCUACUUACGUGUAAGUAGCUGACGGUACUAUAAGAAUAAGGAUCGGCUAACUCCGUGCCAGCAGCCGCGGUAAUACGGAGGAUCCAAGCGUUAUCCGGAAUCAUUGGGUUUAAAGGGUCCGUAGGUGGAUAAUUAAGUCAGAGGUGAAAUCUUGCAGCUCAACUGUAAAAUUGCCUUUGAUACUGGUUAUCUUGAGUUAUUAUGAAGUAGUUAGAAUAUGUAGUGUAGCGGUGAAAUGCAUAGAUAUUACAUAGAAUACCAAUUGCGAAGGCAGAUUACUAAUAAUCAACUGACACUGAUGGACGAAAGCGUGGGUAGCGAACAGGAUUAGAUACCCUGGUAGUCCACGCCGUAAACGAUGGUUACUAGCUGUUUGGACCUUGUGUCUGAGUGGCUAAGCGAAAGUGAUAAGUAACCCACCUGGGGAGUACGUUCGCAAGAAUGAAACUCAAAGGAAUUGACGGGGGCCCGCACAAGCGGUGGAGCAUGUGGUUUAAUUCGAUGAUACGCGAGGAACCUUACCAGGGCUUAAAUGUAAGUUGCAUUAGUUAGAGAUAGCUAUUUCUUCGGACCACUUACAAGGUGCUGCAUGGUUGUCGUCAGCUCGUGCCGUGAGGUGUCAGGUUAAGUCCUAUAACGAGCGCAACCCCUGUUGUUAGUUGCCAGCGAGUCAUGUCGGGAACUCUAACAAGACUGCCGGUGCAAACCGUGAGGAAGGUGGGGAUGACGUCAAAUCAUCACGGCCCUUACGUCCUGGGCUACACACGUGCUACAAUGGUCGGUACAGAGAGCAGCCACUACGCGAGUAGGAGCGAAUCUUCAAAGCCGAUCACAGUUCGGAUCGGAGUCUGCAACUCGACUCCGUGAAGCUGGAAUCGCUAGUAAUCGGAUAUCAGCCAUGAUCCGGUGAAUACGUUCCCGGGCCUUGUACACACCGCCCGUCAAGCCAUGGAAGUUGGGAGUGCCUGAAGUCCGUUACCGCAAGGAGCGGCCUAGGGUAAAAUCGAUAACUAGGGCUAAGUCGUAACAAGGUAGCCGUACCGGAAGGUGCGGCUGGAACACCUCCUUUCU